CCUACGGGGGGCAGCAGUGAGGAAUAUUGGUCAAUGGGCGCGAGCCUGAACCAGCCAAGCAGCGUGAAGGAUGACUGCCCUACGGGUUGUAAACUUCUUUUAUAAAGGAAUAAAGUGAGGCACGUGUGCCUUGUUGUAUGUACUUUAUGAAUAAGGAUCGGCUAACUCCGUGCCAGCAGCCGCGGUAAUACGGAGGAUCCGAGCGUUAUCCGGAUUUAUUGGGUUUAAAGGGGGAGUAGAUGGGGUGUUAAGUCAGUUGUGAAAGUUUGCGGAUCAACCGGAAAAUCGCAAUUGAAACUGGCAGUCUUGAGUACAGUAGAGGUAGGCGGAAUUCGUGGUGUAGCGGUGAAAUGCGUAGAUAUCACGAAGAACUCCGAUUGCGAAGGCAGCUUACUAGACUGCCACUGACACUGAUGCUCGAAAGUGUGGGUAUCAAACAGGAUUAGAUACCCCAGUAGUC
rnacentral:rRNA from 1 species